CAUUAAUAAACAGUUAUAUGAUACAAUACAAUUGCAUAAACUAUGAUAAGGAAAUAUGCAAUGUACUAUGAGAGAAAAACGGAUGAAGCAGCAACUAAUUGCCUGGGUAUUACAGAAUAAAACAUUACAGAUGACCUGACUUUUGAACAGCAUCUUUAAAUAUGAGUAGUUGUAGAGGGAAAGUGGUAAUCCAGUUAGAAGCAUGAGUGUAGUUAUAAGGUAUGUUUAGGCUGAAGUGGGGGUUAUAAGGAGGGAUGGCAGUAGGAAAGCUGUUGAAGUGGCUAAGGGGUGGAUGCUCAAGGGAUUUAAACAGACCAGGGAAUGUGACUGAGUUUCCUCUUUAACAAGGUGUCCCCAUGGUGAGGGAGGACUUACUGGUGAUGGGGAAGAACCAGAGUUGGGGAAAUAUAUAUGAUAAUGCUCCAAAUUACACCAAAGGAGAUGGAGACAUGAGGAAGAGAUUUAAGAGGGGUACUGCUGACCGAACUUGGUGAUCAAUUAGAUAUACAGGAAGGAAUGAUGUCAGGAGUUCGAGACCGGUCUGGCCAACAUGGUGAAAACCUGUCUCUACUAAAAAUCCAAAAAUUAGCCGGGCAUGGUGGUGGGUGCGUGUAAUCCCAGCUACUUGGGAGACUGAGGCAGGAGAAUCACUUGAACCUGGGAGGUGGAGGUUGCAGUGAGCUGAGAUGGCACCAUUGCACUCCAGCCUGGGCAGCAAGAGUGAAACUCUGUCUCCAAAAAAACAAAACAACAACAACAAAAAAUCCCCUUACUCUAGGAAUUGAUGGGACUUUGCAUUCCUGAGUGGCCUAGACCACAAAAAACAAAGAGGCAGAUAUACAAUGGGUCCACUUCCAGCAGCUAUUUCCCCAGGAACAGAGGGGUGCUGCCUGAAUGUGAAGACAGACAUUUGCCACAGAUUCUCUCCCCAGCUUUGUGCAGAGAGGGUGGGAGAAAAUGCUUGUGCUCAGCUUCACUGUGAAGAUAGAAGGAACUGGAAUACAUAUGCAACACCUCAACCUUUCCAACUGUAUCAAAAGAGUCUGCUUCUACCUUACCAAUCUUGGGGUAUGGAGAGGACAUAGCAUAUUCUUUUUUUCUCUCUUUAUUUUUAUUUAAUAUAUUAAUAUAGAGAUAGGGCCUUAUUAUGUUGUCCAGGCUGGUCUCAAACUCUUGGGCCCGAGUGAUCCUCCUGUCUUGGCCUCCCAAAGCACUGGGAUUACAGGCAUAAGCUACUGUGCCUGGCCAGGACAUGGCACAUUCUAAUCUCCAAGGGCCACCAAAACCAGAAACAGCAGUUUGGAUGAACAUAAAGGUUUGAGAGAAAAUUUAAAGUCUCUGGCCAGAUGGAUUGGUGAGAUUCCCUAUAUGAGGCCAGUCUGACAAGACUAGGAGAGGCAGUUCCUAUCUAAUGUAUAGAAACCAACAAAAAGGAAAGGUAACUGAAAAAAUAGGAGAGUAUAUUUCCAAAACAAAGAACAAGAUAAAUCUCUAGAACUGAUGUGAAGUGGAGAUGCAAUUUACCCAACAGGGAAUAGAAAAUAGUGGUCAUAAAGAUGCUCACUGAGGUCAGGAGAGCAAUGUAAGAACAAACUGAGAAUUUCAACAAAGAGAGAGUAUUAAAAAGUACCAAUCAGGGUGUGGGAGCAGUGGCUCAUGCCUAUAAUCCCAGCACUUUUGGAGGCUAAGGUGGGAGGAUUGCUUGAGCCCAGGAGUUUGAGACCAGCCUGGGCAACACAGGGAGAUGUAUCUCCACAAAAAUUUUUAUUAAAAAAUUAGCUAGGUGUGGUGGUGCAUGCCUGUGUUUCCAGCUACUCAGGUGGCUGAGGUGGGAAGAUUGCUUGAACCUAAGAGGUCAAGGCUCCAGUGAGCCAUGAUUGUGCCACUGCACUUCAGCCUGGGCAACAGAGCAAGACCCUGUCUCCAAAACAAAACAAAACAAAACAAAAACCAAAAGAAAACAAAGUACCAAACAGAAAUCAUAGCGCUGAAUAAUACUAUGACUGAACUGAAAAAUUAAAUAGAGGGAUUCAACAGCUGACUAGAUCAAGCAGAAGAAACGAUCAUUUAACUUAAAGACGGAUCAUUAGAAAGCAUCCAAUCUGAGGAACAAAAACAAAAAAGAACUUAAAAGAGUAAUGAUAGCUUAAAAGACUUAUGGGACACCAUCAAAUGUAACAGCAUAAGCAUUACUGGUAUACCUGAAGGAGAGGGGAGAGAUAAAAGGACAGAAAACAUUUUCAAAGUAAUAAUGGCAGAAAACUUCCUAAGCCUGGGUGAAGAAAAUAGAAAUCCUGAUUCAGGAAGCCCAAAAGAAACCAAAUAGGAUGAAUCAAAAGAGACUCAUGCUGAGACACAUCAUAAUCAAAUUGGUAAAAGUUAAAACAAAGAGAGAGUUUGGGAAGCAGCAAAGGCAGGCUAGAAGGAAGCGGUAUGACAUAUUCAAAAACCUCAAAGAAAAAAAAUUGUCAACCCAUGAUACUAUACCCAGCAAUCUUAUCUUUCAAAAAUGAAGGAGUGAUAAAGAUGUUCUCAGACAAAUAAAAGCUGAGAGAGUUUAUCACCACUAGACCUGGCUUACAAGAAAUGCUAAAGGAACUUCUUCAUGCUGAAGGAAGAGGAUGCUAUUUAGUAACAUUAAAACAUAUAAAAGCAUAAAAGUCAUUGGUAAAAAUAAGUAUGUUGUGAAAUCCAAAACACUCUAAUAUGGUAAGGGCAGUGGGUAAAUCAAUUAUAUCUGUAGUAUAAAAGUUAAGAAGCAAAAGUAUGAACAACUAGAGCUACAAUAAUUUGUUAAGAUGCAAAUAAUAAAAGAUGUAAAUUUUGACAAAAAUAUAAAAUAUAGGAGGAGGGGGAGUACAAGUGUAGAGUUUGUAUAAAUAAUCAAAGUUAAAUUGUCAGUAGCUUAAAGUAGCCAUUUAUAUGAUGUUUUAUAUAAGUUUCAGGGUAACUACAAAGCAAAAACUUACAAUAGAUACAAAAGAGAUAAAAAGAAAAGACCCAAAGCAUACCACUACAGAAAACCAUCAAACCACAAAGGAAGAAAGCAAUAGAGGAAGAAAGGAACAAAGCAUCUACAAAACAAUAAGAAAGCAAUGAUCAAGAUGGUGCUGGUAAAUUCCUACCUAGUAAAGUUAUGUUGAAUAUAAAUGGAUUAAAUUAUCCAAUCAAAAGGCAUAGAGUGUCUGAAUGGAUUUUAAAAAACAAAAAACCAAGACCCAACUAUAUGCAGCCUAUGAGAGAUUCAUAUCACCUUAAAGGACAUUCAUAGAUGGAAAGUGAAGACAUGGGAAAAAUAUUCUAUGCAAAUGGAAACCAAAAGAAAGCAGGGGUAGCUACACUUAUUUCAGAUAAAAUAUACCUUUUUUUUGUUUUGUUUUUUUGAGAUGGAGUCUCGCUCUGUCAUCCAGGCUGGAGUGUACUGGCAUGAUCUUGGCUCACUACAACCUCCAUCUCCCAGGUUCAGGCAAUUCUCCUGCCUCAGCCUCCCGAGUAGCUGGGACUACAGGCAUGCACCACCAUGCCUGGCUAAUUUUUGUAUUUUAGUAGAGAUGGGGUUUUACUAUGUUGGCUAGGUUGGUCUCGAAUUCCUGACUCAGAUGAUUGGCCUGCCUUGGCCUCCCAAAGUGCUGGGAUUAUAGACGUGAGCCACCGUGCCCAGCCCUGAUAAAAUAGACUUUAGAAAAAAACUGUAAAUAGAGACAAAGAGGGUCAUAUAUGGUGAUAAAGGGGUCUGUUAAUCAAGAGAAUAUUAUAAUUGUAAAUACAUAUACACCCAACAUCAUAGCGCCUAAAUAUAUAAAGCAAACAUUAAGAGAUCUGAAGGAACACAUAGACUGGAGGAACGCUAUAAUAGUAGGGGAUUUUAAUAUCUCAAUUCCAACAACAGACAGAUCAUUCAGACAGAUAAUCAAUAAGGAAGCAUUGUACUUGAACUCUACUUCAGACCAAAUAAACCUAACUGACAUAUAAAGAACAUUCUACCUAUUCUUUAAGUCAAAUAAUAAAUUAAAGGGGAAAUUUUAAAAAGUCUUGAGACAAAAAUGAAAACAAAACAUACCAAAACUUAUGCAAUACAGUGAAAGUAGUUCUAAGAGUAAAGUUUAUAGCAAAAAAUGUCUACCUUCAAAAUGAAAAAAGUUAUCAAAAAAACAAAUGUAACACCUCAAAGAACUAGAAGAAGAACAAACUAAGCCCAAAGCUAGCAGAAGGAAGGAAAUAACAAAGAUCAGAGCAGAAAUAAAUGAUUAGAGACUAGACAAUAAAUAGAAAAGACCAACAAAAUUGGUUUUUGAAAAGCUAAAUGAAAUGGACUCUUUUUUUUUCUUUUGAGAUGGAUUCUCACGCUGUCACCCAGGCUGGAGUGCAAUGGCACGAUCUCAGCU
rnacentral:lncRNA from 10 species